AGCAGCCGCGGUAAUUCCAGCUCCAAUAGCGUAUAUUAAAGUUGUUGCAGUUAAAAAGCUCGUAGUUGAAUUUCGGGAUUAAUUUAUUGGUCGUGCAAUAGUACGUACUGGUAUUAUUGAUUCCUACCUUCUGACGAACCAUGAUGUCAUUAAUUUGGUGUCAUGGGGAAUCAGGACUGUUACUUUGAAAAAAUUAGAGUGUUUAAAGCAGGCUCACGCUUGAAUACAUUAGCAUGGAAUAACGAAAUAGGACGUUUGAUUCUAUUUUGUUGGUUUCUAGGAUCGACGUAAUGAUUAAUAGGGAUAGUUGGGGGCAUUAGUAUUCAAUUGUCAGAGGUGAAACUCUUGGAUUUAUUGAAGACUAACUACUGCGAAAGCAUUUGCCAAGGAUGUUUUCAUUAAUCAAGAACGAAAGUUAGGGGAUCGAAGACGAUCAGAUACCGCCGUAGUCUUAACCAUAAACUAUGCCGACUAGGGAUCGGAUGAUGUUAAUUUUUUAAUGACUCA
rnacentral:rRNA from 1 species